CAGUCGGAUCGAGUCAAAGCUUUCCCCUGCCGGUGGCUCAGCCCACACCGAGCGGCUGUUCGCUGCAACCCCCUGAAUGGGGCGGGAGAGGGCAGAGCAGCCGCACGAAAGAGUUCAAAUGAAUCACUGGCGUGAGUGGUGAGGGCCAUCAACACCAUGGAUCAUCAACCUGGGCGACAUCGACCCCAUCAUUGCUGAAUUUGCCGGUAUGCUUCUUCAACUGUGGAGGGGCUGUUGUUGGCACCCACAUCCCCAUCUGGGCCCUUGACCACCGGGCAUCUUUCUACAUUAACUGGAAGGGAUACUUUUCAAUGGUCCUGCAUGCCCUCAUUGACCACCGCAGCCAGUUCACCAACAUCUAUAUCGGGUGGUCAGGGAAGGCGCACGACACCCACGUCUUCCGAAACUCCAGCAUCUUCCAGAAGCAGUAUGCUGGUACUUUCUUCCCCAACUGCACCAUCAAGGUUGAGGACGUAGACAUGCCGAUGUUCAUUGUGGGAGACGCAGCUUACCCUCAGAUGCUCUGGCUCAUGAAGCCCUACACCAGACAUCUUGACCCCAUCAGGGAAUGUUUUAAUGCCAGACACAGCGGGGCCUGCAUGGUGGUGGAGGGCAUCUUCGGGCAUCUGAAGGUGCGGUUCCAUUGUCUCCGCACCCAGCUGGAUGUUGGGAAGCGGAACAUCCCCCAAGUGAUGGCUGCAUGUUGUGUCCUUCACAAUAUAUGUUAAACGAUGUGAGAGACGUUCCUGCUAGGGUGGGGGGCAGAGGCUGACCAGCUCGGCAGGGCCUUCGAGUAGCCAUGCAGGACUGAGU